AUGGGACAGCUCGUGUGUUUGACAUGUACAGCCGGAAAUGUUCUUGAAUCAUAAGGUUCAUAUUAGUAUAUCAUCAAUGGCACGUGAAAACUCAAAGCUUGAAGACAAACUCAUGCUCUUAAUUGUAAUAAUCUUAGUGAAAUUUGUCUGUAAUAGUAAUUAGGGUAUUCAGUUUGUAAUAAGCACACACAUCACAUGCAUGAUUUAUUUUGUAAGUUCAAAUCAGAUACAAACCAAAUAUAACCAUAGAAAGACCUUAGGGUUUUCCUUUGGUCGACCGAUGCCGGACUUUUUCGGUGUCUUCAAA